AACAAACAAACAAAAAUGGUCAGUCAGGCCACUCUCUCAACAGUGAGGAAGCAUACCAUUGUGCACUCACCCCUGCAUGCUCCCAGUCCAGGCCACCAUUGCAGGUGGAUCAGGUAGCCUAUCCCCCUUUCUGCCCAAGUUAAGUCCCCGCUCUUGGGAGUGAGUAGGUUCCCCAACUCUGCAAAGAGGGUGAGUGAUUGACUUUGGCCUCCAGGAAGGUGGGUAGGGAUCUGUUCUUUCACCCGGUGGGCCUCCUGUGAGUCUUGACACAUGCCCAAAGCUCGUUUCUUCUUCUCUUAGAGACGGUCAGACUCUGGAGGUAGAUCCCACAGCUGGAAGCCCAGAAUGUGGGUUCUCCAUUGCUGUGUGCCCCUCUUCCCUCUUGCUUCAGCCCCUCCCAUGACUUGAUGUCCUUGUGUUACAGGCAUAGUGGCCAGUGAGCUGGAGGCUUUCCAGCAGGAGCAACAAGAGGACGCCAUCAGGUUUCCAGUCAUCGAGGUUGGUCCUUCUGUGACCGAGGAGGAGGCAGCCUUCAACUGCAUGAAUUCGGGGUGAUGAGACACCUUGGAGACCCUGAUGGGAAGUUUCCAUAUGCCAGAGGGGCACGGCAGAUGCCCUGGGCUGCUACGGCAUCACAUGGCAGGGGAGAUGUUGCCAUGGCCCAGGGUGUAGCAGUUGCUUUGUCCUUCUUAGUGUUAAAUGGGAUCAUCUGCGCCCAUGCAAACGAUCCAAAGUCUGUAUCAGUGACAGUUACCACAGACCCUAUGCCCUACUUCC
rnacentral:lncRNA from 1 species